rnacentral:rRNA from 1 species
CCUACGGGAGGCAGCAGUAAGGAAUAUUGGUCAAUGGAGGCAACUCUGAACCAGCCAUGCCGCGUGCAGGAUGACGGCCCUAUGGGUUGUAAACUGCUUUUAUACAAGAGAAAACCCUGGUACGUGUACCAGGUUGAUAGUAUUGUAAGAAUAAGCAUCGGCUAACUUCGUGCCAGCAGCCGCGGUAAGACGAAGGAUGCAAGCGUUAUCCGGAUUCAUUGGGUUUAAAGGGUGCGUAGGCGGACUGAUAAGUCAGUGGUGAAAUCUCUUUGCUUAACAAAGAAACUGCCAUUGAUACUGUCGGUCUAGAGUAUAGAUGACGUUGGCGGAAUAUGACAUGUAGUGGUGAAAUACUUAGAUAUGUCAUAGAACACCGAUUGCGAAGGCAGCUAACGAAACUAUAACUGACGCUGAGGCACGAAAGUGCGGGGAUCAAACAGGAUUAGAUACCCUGGUAGUCCGCACCGUAAACGAUGAUUACUCGUUGUUGGCGAUAUGACAGUCAGCGACCAAGCGAAAGCGAUAAGUAAUCCACCUGGGGAGUACGCCGGCAACGGUGAAACGUCAAAGAGUAGUAGACGUGAGAGAGCGACGGACGACGACGACGGAGGGAGGNG